rnacentral:sRNA from 1 species
GGAGCAGGGAAGAUGGCGGCUGUGGUGGAGAAUGUAGUGAAACUGAUUGGCCUCCGGACAGCUGUACUCCUACCCUGCCCGGCGCUGGCGGAAAAAGCGGCGAGCCCAUCCCCCUGAGGAUCCACGACUUUCCUUCCCAUCUAUUAAGCCAGACACAGACCAGACCCUGAAGAAGGAGGGGCUGAUCUCUCAGGAUGGCAGUAGUUUAGAGGCUCUGUUGCGCACUGACCCCCUGGAGAAGCGAGGUGCCCCGGAUCCCCGAGUUGAUGAUGACAGCCUGGGCGAGUUUCCUGUGACCAACAGUCGAGCACGAAAGCGGAUCCUAGAACCAGAUGACUUCCUGGAUGACCUCGAUGAUGAAGACUAUGAAGAAGAUACUCCCAAGCGUCGGGGAAAGGGGAAAUCCAAGGGUAAGGGUGUGGGCAGUGCCCGUAAGAAGCUGGAUGCUUCCAUCCUGGAGGACCGGGAUAAGCCCUAUGCCUGUGACAUUUGUGGAAAACGUUACAAGAACCGACCAGGCCUCAGUUACCACUAUGCCCACUCCCACUUGGCUGAGGAGGAGGGUGAGGACAAGGAAGACUCUCAACCACCCACUCCUGUUUCCCAGAGGUCUGAGGAGCAGAAAUCCAAAAAGGGUCCUGAUGGAUUGGCCUUGCCCAACAACUACUGUGACUUCUGCCUGGGGGACUCAAAGAUUAACAAGAAGACGGGACAACCCGAGGAGCU